rnacentral:rRNA from 1 species
UGAGUAACACGUAUCCAACCUGCCGUCUACUCUUGGCCAGCCUUCUGAAAGGAAGAUUAAUCCAGGAUGGCAUCAUGAGUUCACAUGUCCGCAUGAUUAAAGGUAUUUUCCGGUAGACGAUGAGGAUGCGUUCCAUUAGAUAGUAGGCGGGGUAACGGCCCACCUAGUCGACGAUGGAUAGGGGUUCUGAGAGGAAGGUCCCCCACAUUGGAACUGAGACACGGUCCAA